GCUGAAUGCAGCAAGUUAGCCAUUACAGGGCUUGGAACAGAGAUCCUUGAUCAACAAACCUGAGUACAGAAUUCUUCUGAGAAAACUGCAGAAAAUAAUUAAUCUGAUUGAGCUACUAAGAAUACGACAUGAAAGAGAAUUAUGGUUUUCCAAGUUAUAGCCAAGUGAUCAGAACAUUUGCUUGCAUCAUUGAAGUUGGGCCAAAGGAUAAUGUUACCAAAUCUCUAACAAAGGUGGGCAGCAAUGAGCAGGGGAACUUGGGAGUCGAUCUCCAAGAUUAGUUUCUUGAUUGAAAGAAUGUGUUAAGGUGAAGCCACGGUAGAGGCCUCAUUGAAAAGAUUCAUAAACUGCUGGUCAAGCUCAAAUGAAAUCACCUGCAUUUUAUGCUCGAUGAUGAUACCUUCAUUAUUUUCUCGAUAGUAUUAUUACCAUUUACUAAUCCAUCAAUAUUCGAUUAUUAUGUUUUUGUUGUAAUGGCAUUUUUGGAGAGCAAGCUUCGAGGUUUAGUUAAAUAAGGACUAUGAUAUUUAAGAACAAAAGAAGUUUUUUCUCUAAAUAAUUUGUUAAAAAAUAAAUAUCUGUAACAUGCGGCUUUAUUCAAUA